UUUAAAGUUUAAUUUGCCCCCUGAGGAAUUAAAUGGCCGCGGUACUUUGACCGUGCAAAGGUAGCAUAAUAAUUAGUUUUUUAAUUGAAAGCUGGUAUGAAUGAUUGAACGAGAAAAUGACUGUCUCAAUUUAAUUUUUUUAGAAUUUUAUUUUUAAGUAAGAAAGCUUAAAUUUUAUUAAAAGACGAGAAGACCCUAUAGAGUUUUAUAUUUAGUUGAUUUUUAGUUUUAAAGAAUUAUUUUAUUAAUAUUUAAUUAAAUAUUUUAUUGGGGUGAUAGAAAAAUAUUAUAAACUUUUUUUUUAUUUAAACAUUGAUUUAUGAUUUAAUGAUCCAUUUUUAUAUGAUUAAAAGAAUAAGUUACCUUAGGGAUAACAGCGUAAUUUUUUUUUAGAGUUCUUAUCGAAAAAAAAGAUUGCGACCUCGAUGUUGGAUUAAAAUUAAUAUUUGGUGUAGAA
rnacentral:rRNA from 1 species